rnacentral:tRNA from 1 species
GGUCAAGCGGCCUAAGACACCGCCCUUUCACGGCGGUAACACGGGUUCGAAUCCCGUA